AUGGCAACGGCAAGGACAACAAUGUUGUUUUCUGUUCACGGCUUCGAGUUCGACAAUAAUUUCGAUAACAAUUUCAACAAUUUCGUUCGCGGUUUGUUCAAUGAUAUUUGCAGGAUCGCAAUCGCAAUUCUCAUCCCUAUCAGAACCGUCAAAAUCUAUUUGGUGAAAUCCAUCACAAGGUUUCAACAAAGAAGAGAAGAUUCAGAUUCUCUUAUGUUUCAUUUUCGUGUCCUGGACCUCUCUGCAUUCCAAAGCAUCCUCUAA